CAUCCCAGGGGACACCAGCAACAGCCAUCCUUCCACCAGCGAGCAGCCAGCAAGCCCCAGCUCCCCGGAGCAGCGCCUGGCCUGCCUGAGGACGCUGAUGUCCAGGCAGAAGGCAGAGUACGAAUCCAGAGUUGCAAGCCUGGAGCAGCGGAACAGAGAGCUGCAGUCAGAGAUUAAGGACAUGCAUUCAAAACUGGGACAGCAGCGCAAGCAGCACAGCCUCGUGGAGAUGAAAAUGAGGAACGCAGAGAGAGCAAAGGAGGAUGCAGAGAGAAGAAACGAAAUGCUUCAAAAAGAAAUGGAAGAGUUUUUUGAAACCUUUGGGGAAAUUAACAAAUGGAAAUAAACAGGGACUUUUUCAGUUUGAACUUGAGCUCUCUCUGUAGGAGAGAGAAAGCCAUAUUCUGAUCUCAGAAAUUAAGAAUCUCAGCAGUAAAAACUGGGCUGUUAAUUACAAAGCAAGCAGUGAUAAAAACUUGUGGGCAUGCCUUAACUCCAUGAACUCUCUGCAGUGCCCUGCUAACACCAAGGAUGCUCUCUUUUACCCCUGGAAAAAUCUUUCAGACAUACUUUGCAUUACCCAUUCCCAAACCAGCCUACACAGCACAAUGGGAAAGCUCCCCGGUAUUUUCGGGUUCGCUUGUACUAAUGCACCAAGUGGCUGACUUUUUUAAUUUCAGGAUGUUGUGCUUGCUGGGUGUGUUUUAUUAGCCACCUUAGAAGUCACAUAGGCGUUAAAUGGGCUUUAAGGGUGCUGAGUUUAUACCUGCAUCCUUAAGUCAGCUGUUUUAUUUGGAGACAAAUUCGGAGAAAUAAUGAGACCAAACGUCUCCCCACAGCCCGCAACAGCACUGCCACGUGGCCGGGAUCCAGAGCUCCAGGGUAAGUCCUGUUCUCUCCCUGAAGGAAUUUCCAUUCAUGGAGGAAGAGGUAUCUUGGGCAGCCAAGAGAGUCUCCCUGCAAGACUCCCAUAAACACGUUAGUCUUAAGACUGUUACUGGUAGACUCCUUCACUCAUCUUUGCAGAGCUACCUCUAUACACACCAUAAACACAUUACCUAUUUUAAUACUAGAGUUUUAAUAACUAUAGUUUUAAUACUUUUUUUAAAUAGUUUUAAUACUAUAGUUUUAAUAACUAUUUUAAUACUUCCCCAGUUACAUCAGACAGCUUUACAAAGUGACCAAGAAACCUUAUCAGUGUCUUCACGAGAAUACUUACCUCUUCAAAAAAAUACAAUGGAAUGAUUUUUUUUUUCCAAUUUAGCUGUACAUCUGCAUUGUUCAGUCAGAACAAGAUGAAACAACAUUGUUAGAGCAUUAGGUGAAAAACAAAUUAUUUCAAAGUCCAUAUAUAUGUACAAAUAUAAGCUACUGGCUGUACGGGGUGCGUAUCUGCAACUUACAAGGAAGUCUGAAAAACCAAUUAUGAUACUGUUUAAACACAAGGAUGUGAAUACAGAUCUGUCAGUAUUACCCAGAAAGGUUCUGCAAUUUUGGAAAACAAAUUUCAAAAUACACUUUUUACUUGGCAGUGAAACCAAGUGUUGUUAACGUGUCCAAAUGUUACAGCUGAUCGGAGAAAGCAGCUCCAAACAGUGUCUUAAGCUGAUAUUAAUUUACUUUUCAUACUCAUACUUACUUCCUGGCUAACCAAAAACUGAAGUGUAAAUGAAACAUCAUGUUUUAUAAAACUAAGAACAUAUUCUUUCAGUUAGAUAAAACAUUCCACUUCAACACA